rnacentral:tRNA from 1 species
GCCAGCAUGGUGUAGUGGUUUGAGUGUUGGACUACGACUCUGGAGAUCAGGGUUCGAUUCCCUGUUUGGCC